UAGAGUUUGAUCAUGGCUCAGGACGAACGCUGGCGGCGUGCUUAACACAUGCAAGUCGAACGGAAAGGUCUCUUCGGAGACACUCGAGUGGCGAACGGGUGAGUAACACGUGGGCAAUCUGCCCUGCACACCGGGAUAAGCCUGGGAAACUGGGUCUAAUACCGGAUAGGACCACUUGGCGCAUGCCUUGUGGUGGAAAGCUUUUGCGGUGUGGGAUGGGCCCGCGGCCUAUCAGCUUGUUGGUGGGGUGACGGCCUACCAAGGCGACGACGGGUAGCCGGCCUGAGAGGGUGUCCGGCCACACUGGGACUGAGAUACGGCCCAGACUCCUACGGGAGGCAGCAGUGGGGAAUAUUGCACAAUGGGCGCAAGCCUGAUGCAGCGACGCCGCGUGGGGGAUGACGGCCUUCGGGUUGUAAACCUCUUUCACCAUCGACGAAGGUCCGGGUUCUCUCGGAUUGACGGUAGGUGGAGAAGAAGCACCGGCCAACUACGUGCCAGCAGCCGCGGUAAUACGUAGGGUGCGAGCGUUGUCCGGAAUUACUGGGCGUAAAGAGCUCGUAGGUGGUUUGUCGCGUUGUUCGUGAAAUCUCACGGCUUAACUGUGAGCGUGCGGGCGAUACGGGCAGACUAGAGUACUGCAGGGGAGACUGGAAUUCCUGGUGUAGCGGUGGAAUGCGCAGAUAUCAGGAGGAACACCGGUGGCGAAGGCGGGUCUCUGGGCAGUAACUGACGCUGAGGAGCGAAAGCGUGGGGAGCGAACAGGAUUAGAUACCCUGGUAGUCCACGCCGUAAACGGUGGGUACUAGGUGUGGGUUUCCUUCCUUGGGAUCCGUGCCGUAGCUAACGCAUUAAGUACCCCGCCUGGGGAGUACGGCCGCAAGGCUAAAACUCAAAGGAAUUGACGGGGGCCCGCACAAGCGGCGGAGCAUGUGGAUUAAUUCGAUGCAACGCGAAGAACCUUACCUGGGUUUGACAUGCACAGGACGCGUCUAGAGAUAGGCGUUCCCUUGUGGCCUGUGUGCAGGUGGUGCAUGGCUGUCGUCAGCUCGUGUCGUGAGAUGUUGGGUUAAGUCCCGCAACGAGCGCAACCCUUGUCUCAUGUUGCCAGCGGGUAAUGCCGGGGACUCGUGAGAGACUGCCGGGGUCAACUCGGAGGAAGGUGGGGAUGACGUCAAGUCAUCAUGCCCCUUAUGUCCAGGGCUUCACACAUGCUACAAUGGCCGGUACAAAGGGCUGCGAUGCCGCGAGGUUAAGCGAAUCCUUUUAAAGCCGGUCUCAGUUCGGAUCGGGGUCUGCAACUCGACCCCGUGAAGUCGGAGUCGCUAGUAAUCGCAGAUCAGCAACGCUGCGGUGAAUACGUUCCCGGGCCUUGUACACACCGCCCGUCACGUCAUGAAAGUCGGUAACACCCGAAGCCAGUGGCCUAACCCUCGGGAGGGAGCUGUCGAAGGUGGGAUCGGCGAUUGGACGAAGUCGUAACAAGUAGC
rnacentral:rRNA from 1 species